rnacentral:rRNA from 1 species
CCUACGGGAGGCAGCAGUGGGGAAUUUUCCGCAAUGGGCGAAAGCCUGACGGAGCAAUACCGCGUGAGGGAUGAAAGCCUGUGGGUUGUAAACCUCUUUUCUCAAGGAAGAAGUUCUGACGGUACUUGAGGAAUAAGCAUCGGCUAACUCUGUGCCAGCAGCCGCGGUAAUACAGAGGAUGCAAGCGUUAUCCGGAAUCACUGGGCAUAAAGCGUCUGUAGGUUGCCUACCAAGUCUGCUGUUAAAGAUCAGGGCCUAACCCCGAGGAAGCAGUGGAAACUAGUAGGCUUGAGUGUGGUAGAGGUAGAGGGAAUUCCUGGUGUAGCGGUGAAAUGCGUAGAUAUUAGGAAGAACACCAAUGGCGAAAGCACUCUACUGGGCCAUAACUGACACUGAGAGACGACAGCUAGGGGAGCAAAUGGGAUUAGAUACCCCAGUAGUCCUAGCCGUAAACGAUGGAUACUAGGUGUUGCACGUAUUAACCCGUGCAGUAUCGUAGCUAAGGCGUUAAGUAUCCCGCCUGGGAAGUACGCUCGCAAGAGUGAAACUCAAAGGAAUUGACGG